UGCUUCUUGCACAAAAUAAGAAGUAGAUCCUGCCCAGUGAAAUUUAAACGGCCGCGGUACCCUAACCGUGCAAAGGUAGCAUAAUAAUUUGUCCAUUAAUUGUGGACUAGAAUGAACGGAAUAACAAAAUAAGUACUAUUUAAGUAGAAUAACUAUAAACUAUUAUUAAAGUGAAGAAACUUUAAUAUGAUAAAAGGACAAGAAGACCCUAUAGAGCUUUAUUUAAAACAAUUACAAAUUUCUAUAAAUUCGGUUGGGGCGACCCAGGAAAACUCAUCCUUAACUAUAAAGAUUAACAAAUCAUAUAAAAGAUCCUACACAUAGAUCUACGAAACAAGCUACCUUAGGGAUAACAGGCUAAUCCUACUAUAGAGCCCUUAUCAACAGUAGGGAUUGGCACCUCGAUGUUGGCUUAGAAAAUCUAUACAGCGCAGAAGCUGUAGAAAGAAGGUUUGUUCAACCUAUAAUAUUCU
rnacentral:rRNA from 1 species